ACGUGAGAAGGAACCUCAUUUAAGCAGAAGGAUACUGCAUUAAUUAACAAUAGCCUCGUUUCUAGUCACACUUGUCAGCUCUCUUUCCCAUUGCAACGAGAGUGCCGACAACCGCUGAAUCAGAGGAUAGCAACUCAACAACUCAAUGUGAACAAUUUCUCCUAAGUGGCCAAGUAUCGCUAAUGUCACUUGAACCUUCCAACGGACAGCUAAUUAUCUCGACUUUCUUCUUUUAUUCGUGUCACAAAAACGGAUGCCGGCAACAGAUUUGAGAAGAGAAGAACAAGCGCAAAAUUAACAGGGGUCGUGAGAUCUGAAUGGGUGAGUACCUCUACAAAAGCAUAAUGUAGUUACAAGUCAUUACAGGGUGCGUAUUAAAAUUUUGUAAGUUAUUUCCUUGAGAAUUUUAGAAGUUUUAAUCAGAAUUCCAGGUGAAAUUAGAGAAUUUUUUAAUGCAGCUUUAAAAAAAAUUUAUUUUAUUACACAUACUUUUUAAUAUUCUUUAAUCACAAAGAAAAGUCAUCUAAGAUUUGAAUAUUAUCCCUUAACUACUAAUUGGCAGGGUACAAAUGUACUUCAUGCAAUUAAGAAAUUGUAGUCUAAGUUACUGUUAUUUAGAAAAAAA